rnacentral:lncRNA from 1 species
GACAAUAAAUUCAACAACAAAUUCCAUCAAAACAAAUUCAAGCUCAGGAGGAGUGAGGAGGCGAAAUCAGGGUUUCGGGCUCAAAGAGGUGGCGAUUUGGGAUUUGGAUUUCGGCUCAGAAGGCGGCGAUUUGAGGGAACAACGAGGGGUUGUCGUUGUUACCUGAGAAAUAGAGAGAGCGAGGGAUGAAGGGUGACGCAGAGAGAGGCGGUCGGUGGCGGCGUUCCUCGUCGGGGAAGAGAGGCGGCGGCGCGUAGUGCAUGUAGCUCCUCACCUUGAAAAAGGAGGCGACGAUUUGAGGGAGGCAACGAUUUGGGGUGUUGGGUCAGAGGGAGGCGGCGAUUUGAGGGACGUUUGCUUUGAGGGAGGCGGCACCUUAAGGUGAAGAAGAAGGAGUAAGGCGACGAGAUCAAAGGUUGAGCUUUUAGACGAAGAAGAAGAAGGCUGAGGCGCCGCUCCAGAUUUAGAAAAUAGGGUUUGAACGAGUGAAUAUUAGAAGUAAUCUUAGGGUUAUUUUAUUGCUAAUUAUGUUUGAUUAAGUUUAAGUGGAGAGAAUUUUUAAUUAGUGAGGUGGGUCCUCUAAUGGCAAAUAAAGUAAAUACAUAAAGUUAUAAAGGGUAUAAUUGUAUAAAAAGUGAAACUUGACUCUUUUUUGUGGACAAAAAAAAGAGAGAAUCAAGACUCUUUUUCGUGGAUGGAGGGGGUAUUAGGUUGUGGGUUGUGUAGAUGGAUGCGAGAGAAAUGAAUAUUUUAUUAAAAAGUUGAGUAAAGUUGGGUUGGAUGAGUGUCACGACCGUGGGUAGUCUAAAACCAGCCAACAAUUGUUGCAUCCUCUUCAUUCUUCACUUAAGGACUUCAAGAGUAGUAGAGAGCCUCUAAUUCAUUUCUGCCAAAUUCUCAAGGUAAGAUUGGCUUUAAUGCUUCCACAUUCUUCCAUAUUUCACCUGCAUUAAUGCAAGAACAACAAUUGAUAUGUUUCAGUUAUUCCCCAUUUAAGAUCAUUCAACUACAGCAGAUACUACAACAACCAACACCAAGCAAUUUCAGGGUAAGCUUUGCCUUGAACUUUACCACCUCCUGCCACAAUUUCUCCUUCAUUCAUUAAGGCAGUUACUAACAAUUAUUCUGUUUCUAGUUCUCAAUCAGCAAUAUCACAGCAACAGCCAAUCAACACAUUCUCAAGGUAUUUAUGCUACCUCAGUUAUUCAAACCAGUUUGCAUUCAUACCAACAAGGCUGAUCAUAUUCAUAAAUGAUAGAGGGCCGUAUAUGUGCAUAAUGAAUUUAGCAGUUACAUGCUUUAUAUCACAUAACACCAGUUACAUUUUCCUUAUGUAAGUAUUAGUGCGUAUGAGAACUCGAGCAGGGCAUAACUCUGAAGCAAAGCAUAGAACAGACAACAUUUUGUUUAUAUCUCACUUUAGGAAUCAUAGAGGGAAGUCACAUGUGUCUCGAUUAUUUGGUAUAUGAACUCAGAAAAUCACAGCCACAUCAAAACCACUAAAGAUCUUGUCUUGCUUGAGCUUAGGGACGCUUCUCGCUAUAGCCGGACGGUGGUGGUGAUCUCUGUCAGGACCAAGGAGAGCCCGGAUCAGAGAAGGGAGGCCGUACCAACGAGAGGACGAACACCGGAGAGGUAGCGGCGCGGCAGCGCAGCGGGUGUACCAGAGACGGCGGAGACGAACUGAGAUGACGGAACCUGGGUUCGAUUCUCUACCCACCUUGGUGUGUGCGUUAGGGUUUUUUGUAAAAGGCUCGGGGAAAAGAGCGAGGCGACGCCGACCUCGCUGAUUCACGGACGACGCGGACUCGCCGGCCUCCACCGGUGACGACGAUGAUACGGGCAGGGGAAGAGCUAGGGCACGUUUUGAAGAACGGGAGAGAUGCAAGACUCGAUUUUUCGGAAGGGAAAACGAUCUGAGGAAUUGAAAAAGGAACGAGACGAGGAGAGGAAACACGGCUGGUCGUCAACCUCGCCGGAACCGUUCGCGGCGGUAGCGGGAGAGAGAGUAGGACUGUGGGUGUGUUCUGAUUUGAGCGAGAGAACUGUGUAUUGGGGGAGGAAAUAUAGGGAUUGGGCUUUUCCUUUUAAUUGCUUUCGGCUAAGUUAUUUUACUCAGUUGGGCCGCCCUCAUUCACUCUUAGGGCCACUCAUUAUUUAAUUGAGGGUAAUUUUAAAUAUAGCCCCCAAUUUUCUCAAGCCUCUUAGUUUAAUUAGAUAAUAAAAAUAAUUAUGAUGAUACUAAUACACCCUCACAGCCCUAUUUAAAAAUUUAUAAUAAAUUAAUUUUCAAUGAACACUGCGUAUAACUUAUAACCCCAACUCAAAUAUUUCUCAAACUUCUUAUUACAGUGGAGAAUAAGACACAUACUUUUUCUUCGUGUAGAGAGGGAGAGAGAGCCGCUGCGCCACCGCAUUGCCGCCGGCCAGAGACAGUUGGCUCUAGCUGCCUGCAUCGCUGGAUGAAAUGGUCGAUCUUACCCUUCUGGGUUCCGUUCUACUUGCCGUUUUGGGGGUUUUCCUCUUUUGUCUCUAUGGGUUCUUGAAAAAGAUUGAGGAGAGUAAGCAGUCGAAGAAGGGAGAUACCACCGCCGCCGCCACCAUCGUCAACGAUAGAGAAUGCAGAUCUAGGGACGGCGGCGAUGACAUCAUCAUUGUGGGUGCCGGAGUGGCGCCGCCCUCGCUUACACUCUCGGAAAGGUAUCGCCUUUUUACAUUGUUUUGCACUUUCAAGAAUGUUGGUUGGGUUGUUCAUUGUUGUGUUUUGCAAUUUUGAAUGCAUGGAUGAAUAAUUUUAUGAAGAUGGUCACAAAAAUUGAAAUAAAUCAGAAUGGUUUGGAAUUUGUAUCCGUUUCCCUUUUAUUUCACCUGAUUUCUUCAUGUUGUUGGCUUGUGUUUAUUUGGAAUCUUGUUUUCAAUCAAGGAUGGGCGAAGGGUUAGGGUGAUUGAGAGAGAUUUGACUGAGCCUAACAGGAUUGUGGGAGAACUCUUACAACCAGGUGGAUAUCUCAUCGUUGCAACAGGUGCUCGGGAACUGGAGCUAUUCUGUUUUCAUGUUCUGGUAGUUUUGUGCUGUAAGAAUACGUUAGUUCUGUUAUUUUGCACUAAAAUGGAAGGCAAUGGAAAAGAUUUACACAUUACUUUAAUGGUCAAUCCUCUUAUUGUUUUGUCAUAAUUCUGGUUAUUGUGCUUGGCCAAAUAUCAAGGUGUAUCUAGUUCUUCCGAAUGCAUGGGAAGUAAUAUGAAACCUUGUCCUAUUGAAGCAGAUUCUGGAAUAAUUUAAGCCCCAGAUAAGAAGCACGUGGACCACAAAUUCUGUAUUUCUUUCAAGAAUUUGUGUUAUAUCCUUUUUUUUGCAUCCAGAGUGCGAGUAAAUUUGAUACAUGUCCGAGCAUAGUGUUGAUCUGCCAAUUUCAGAACUUAUGCCUGGGCUUAGUGUUUCAUUGACUAAUGAAAAAUUGAAGCAUUUGCAUGUAUGGCACAUAUUAUUAGUUAUUACCAACCAAAGUCAACUUUGAACCCCCCCCCCGCUUCUAGGGUGAAAGUACAUCUAUCAUAACUUCAUGUAAUUAAAAGAGUUAGAUGACAGAGUUUAUAACUGUUAUUGUUUCUCAUCAUUUUGUAGGCUUUGAAGCUUGAAGAGUUUGGUGUAAAUGCUUUAGAUGCACCUAAUGUGUGUUAUUUGCGAGAUGUGGCUGACGCGGAUAGACUUGUAGAUAUGAUGGGAUCUUGCAAAGGGGUGAAGUUUGUCAAAGGAACUGUCUUGACAUCAUUCGAUUUUAACGCUGAUGGGAAGGUAUUACUGUUCUUCCGUUUGCUUGUUUAAUUCUUUGCAACUUCCGACCCCUGGUAGCAUCAUUAUGGCCCAGUUUCAAACUGGCACAUCAUUUUAUAAGGAAAUUCAAAAGAAAAUUUUGACCCUUGAGAGUGAAUUUUGAGGAAACGAUUUUUUUUUAGAAGAUUCAAGGUUACUUCAUGAUUAUGUAAAGGUCCAAUGAAAAUUAUAGUUUUCAGUUGUUUGGUUAUCCGAAUAUAUGAAAUCAGACACUAAACAACUCUCAGUUAGGCUUCAUCUGUCCCCAACUACGUAUUCUUAUACUUGCAUUGGCCAACUCUUUUAAUAGGUCCGUGCUAUUAAUCUUCAAGACGGGAGCAAGCUUCCUGCAGAUAUGGUUAUGAUUGGUAUAGGGAUUUGUCCAAACACAAGUCUGUUUGAAGGCCAAUACCAUGGAAAAGGGGGGAAUCAAAGUAAAUGGAAAAAUGCAAUCGAGCAACAGCUCAGUCUAUGCAAUUGGGGAUGUAGCUGCUUUUCCAGUCAAAAUAGUCGGUGAAACGCGCAGGCUUGAGCAUGUUGACUCUGCACGGAAGGCAGCGAGGCAUGUUGUUGCCACUAUCAUGGAACCUGAAAAGAUGGGCGAAUUCGACUAUUUACCCUUCUUCUACUCCAGGGUCUUUACUUUGUCUUGGCAGUUUUAUGGGGACAAUGCGGGGGAAGUCAUCCAGUUUGGAGACUUCACUGGAAAUACUUUUGGAGCGUACUGGAUGAACAAAGGCCAUUUGGUCUGAUCUUUCCUCGAGGGUGGAACAAAGGAACAGUACGAGGCAUUAGCCCAGGCCACGCGGCUUAAACCAAAAAUCGAGGACUUGGCUGAGCUCGAGAGCCAGGGUUUGGAAUACGCCUUGUCCGUGAUCCAGAAACCUCUGUCUACACGCCCAACAGAUGUCGGUGGCUCUACUCUCAUCCUCGACAAACCACUGCAUGUGUGGCAUGCUACUGCGGGAGUUAUUGUCGCUGCAUCUGUGGCGGCCUUCGCAUACUGGUAUGGAAGAAAGCGCAAGAGGUGGUGAAAAGUUGCCUUCUGCUUCUUUGAAGAUUCAUUAUUGUAUAAUGCACUUCACCUGUUGUAGCAUUUUGUAUGUCAAGAGAAAAGCUCAAUACUGUUUGUGCAAUUUAUUUUCAUUCAGAAAGAGAGGAAGUUUAAUCAAUAUCAAUAAAUUGUUCUCGGACUUCUUUGAGUUUGAGGCAGCUACAUGUAAUGAAGUAAUUAUAUCCUUAAUAAUUUUUUCUUGUAGCGCAAGAGCUGGAAAUGCAAUUACAUCUUUUGACAUCUUUUGACACUUUGAUACCCUGUUCAGAAUUUCUUUUAACGCUGAUGGGAAGGUAUUACUUUGAUACUCGUUCAGAAUUUCUUUACAAAGAGGACACCCUAUAGGCCUAUAUACAACAACAAUGUCAUCUAUAUACAUUAUGUUAUGCAGAUCACGUGAAACUUAAGACUAUUCACUAAAAAAAAAAAAAACUAAAUAAUGUACAAACAAAGCAAACUAAAGUGGACGACUCUAACCCAAAUUGUCAACUUCAACGCGAAACAACCUUCUGCAUUGAUUAUCACUGUUCCCUUAGCGUCUAGGGUUUCGUCCUCUAGUCUUCUUCUAGAGUUUGGUUUCUCGUUUGAGUCUUGGUCAAGGCUUUAUUCCCUUCCGGUCGGCGGCCCUCAGCCGCCUUUUGAGUUUCUUCCUCUCCUGGUUUUCGUUUGCUUUGUUUCCCCCUGUUUUCUCCCUUUUUGCGCGAAUUCUGUUUUCUGGCUUUUACUUUCUAGUUACGCUUGUGUGUGGAGUAGUGGGUUUUUGUUUGUGUUUUCUUCUCAUUGUGGUGCAGGUAUGGAGAGGAUUGGUACAUCUCGGGAUUCUGACUUGGUGAACGGCCCGGAAGAGAGAACGGAUAGAGAAUCGAAGAUUAUUGAUAUCUCCGCUGGGUUAUCUGAUGAAAAUCUGCAGAAUAAGAAGUUUUGCCUCGUUGGGAGUCUCAUUGCUGCUAAACCCUCGAAUGGCUAUCAUCUGAUUGAGAUCAUGAAAAAAUCUUGGAAGACUUCGACAGAGUUUGAAGCGAGAGAAUGGCGAAAGAAUAUGUUCCUUUUUACAUUUGAAACAUGGGAAGACAUGGAGUGGGUUCUGAAGAGACAACCAUGGCAUUUUGAUAAUCACCUGUUUGCUGUUAUGGUGCUUGAUGACAAGAUUCAACCCUCAAACAUGUGGACAGAGGAAGUUUUUGGGUUCGUGCUUACAACCUUCCGAUUAAAUGUAUGAAUUCAGCUAUUAUACGCAAUAUUGGCAAGCAAAUUGGAAGUGUAGAAGAGGUUAAUGAGAGGGCCAAUUACGCGGGGUGUUUUGCCAGAUUCAAAGUCAACUUCGACAUUACCGCCCCACUUCUUCGAGGCAUUACGAUCUUCUUUGAAGCACAACAGCUGUGGAUUCCUUUAAAAUAUGAAAACCUCCCUGUUUACUGCUAUAAAUGUGGAAUCAUGAGCCACCACACUCGAGCUUGUGAGAAAGAGGUUGAAGAAGACGAGACAGGAAGACAGUUCGAGGAUUUAACGUAUGGCCCUCUUCUCAAGGCCUCUCCUCUUAAAAGAUUGCGCCCGAUGAAAAAACAGAUAGGCAUGCCUAAUAAACCAUAAAAUCCCAGCAAAGUUUUGCUCUUCCACUCUUCAUCCCAUCCUCUAGUGCCCCCUACAAAACCCCGUCCACCACCACUCUCCCAUGACCCCUCCCUUCCACAUCACCACACACCUGUUGAAUCUCUCCCCCACCCACAAAAACAAACCACGCUCCAAACCACGGAAACUUUUAACCCCAAUAAGCCAAACGAUAAGUCCCCAAAACACCUUACAGCUCCUGAUCCCUCUACACUUUUAAACUUCUCAAACCAAACCAAUCUUUCCAACAUCCCCAAGCCCUCCAAUAUCAGUUUGGACACCCAGAAUAAACCUACCAACUCAUGUCGUACAACAGCUCCGAUUACAGCUCCCUUCAAUCCUAUUGACGAUUUAACCCCAACCCGCGAUAUUGCGAAACUCCUUAAUCUCAAGCUCACAGCACAACCCACAUCCCAACCAAAACACCCCACUCAAAAAACCUGGUCUAGAACCGAUCUCCAAACCCAAAGACUCCCAAACUCCACAAAACCUCAUCAAACUCCAAUCAUCGCAAAAGACACAACGGUUGAGCUGGUUCAAAAACGUCUUAAGGGAACAAUACUCGAUGAUACUUCUUCUUCAAUUGCGCUAUCGGCGGAGAUUGCUUCGGAGCAAUCCCGCCGGGCACAAUGAAUUGCUUAAGUUGGAACUGUCGGGGGCUUGGGAACCAAUCAACAGUUCGUCAGUUUGAUUGGCUAAUCAAACAAAAGAAGCCCAAAUUAGUGUUCAUUAUGGAAUCUAAACUCAUGGAGACGAAAUGGACACCAAUUCUUCAGAAAAAUGGUUUUGAGAAUUUUUUUGUGAUUGAUUGUGAUAAUGAUGAUGGAGGCAGGAAAGGCGGUCUGGGACUUCUCUGGACUAGUGAACUACGAGUGACUAUCAAAUCUACUUCACAGCAUCAUAUUUUAGCUUCAGUGGAUAAUCAAUGCAACUCUAUUUGGGAUUUCUGUGGUGUGUACGGGUGGAGCAGAACAGAGGAUCACCAUCAUACUUGGGAUUUAUUGCGCAAGAUUAGAUUGGAAGUAGGGAAUAAGUGGCUGUGUGGGGGGGACUUUAACGAGACUUUAUACCAUUUUGAGAAGAAAGGAGGCAACUUGAAAGCUGACUCGAGACUCUGUGCUUUCAGGGACGUGGUUGACAGUUGUGGCCUUCAGGAUUUGGGGUUUUCGAGCGAUCCGUUCACCUGGUCUAAUAAUCAGAGAGGAGAAGAUCACAUUACUGAAAGGCUGGACCGUUUCUUCGGCAAUGAAGCAUGGAUUGAGUGCUUUCCGGGCUAUGUUGUCACGCAUCUUACUAGAAAAUCAAGCGACCAUAGUCCGGUCCUUUUAUCCCUUGAUCGUGAUGAAGAGGAGGUUCGACCUCGUUCAAAGCCGUUCCGCUUCGAAGCAAUGUGGCUAAAGGAUGAGAGAUGCAAGCCUUUUUGCAAUAACUUAUGGCAACAAGGGGGCCUUUUGGAAUCGGCUACUGAUUUCAAGCAAAAACUAGAGGAUAUGGGGGUUGAGCUCAAGCAAUGGGAAAAGAGGGAAUUUGGACACAUCAGAAAGAGGUGCAAAGAACUCAGAGAAGAGCUAGGGGAUCUCCAAAAACCUUCUAACGAUCCUUAUACAAAAGAUAAGCAGAGAUUGGUGGAAGCUGAACUAGAUGAUCUGCUUUCAAAGGAAGAGAUUAUGUGGAAACAAAGAUCCAGAGCGGACUGGCUGGUUGAUGGGGAUAGAAAUACAGGGUUUUUUCAUCGAGUAGCAGAAGGCAGGAAAAAACGCAAUCAUAUACGUGAGAUUCAGAGAGGGGAUGGCUCGACUACCAGAAAACAUGAGGAGAUGGAUAUCAUUUUUAGAACUCAUUUCCAGGAACUCUUCUCGGCUAGCCCUUAUCAGAAUCCCGAAGAGGUCAUCCACUCCAUCGAGCCCAUGGUGUCAGNCCGCCGGCACAAUGAAUUGCUUAAGUUGGAACUGUCGGGGGCUUGGGAACCAACCGACAGUUCGUCAGUUUGAUUGGCUAAUCAAACAAAAGAAGCCCGAAUUAGUGUUCAUUAUGGAAUCUAAACUCAUGGAGACGGAAUGGACACCAAUUCUUCAGAAAAAUGGUUUUGAGAAUUUUUUGUGAUUGAUUGUGAUAAUGAUGAUGGAGGCAGGAAAGGCGGUCUGGGACUUCUCUGGACUAGUGAGCUACGAGUGACUAUCAAAUCUUCUUCACGGCAUCAUAUUUUAGCUUCGGUGGAUAAUCAGUGCAACUCUAUAUGGGAUUUCUGUGGUGUGUACGGGUGGAGCAGAACAGAGGAUCACCAUCAUACUUGGGACUUAUUGCGCAAGAUUAGAUUGGAAGUAGGGGAUAAGUGGUUGUGUGGGGGGGACUUUAACGAGACUUAUACCAUUUGAGAAGAAAGGAGGCAACUUGAAAGCUGACUCGAGACUCUGUGCUUUCAGGGACGUGGUUGACAGUUGUGGCCUUCAGGAUUUGGGGUUUUCGGGCGAUCCUUUCACCUGGUCUAAUAAUCAGAGAGGAGAAGACCAUAUUACUGAAAGGCUGGACCGUUUCUUCGGCAAUGAAGCAUGGAUUGAGUGCUUUCCGGGCUAUUUUGUCACGCAUCUUACCAGAAAAUCAAGCGACCAUUGUCCGGUCCUUUUAUCCUUUGAUCGUGAUGAAGAGGAUGUUUGACCUCGUCCCAAGCCGUUCCGCUUCGAAGCAAUGUGGCUCAAGGAUGAGAGAUGCAAGCCUUUUUGCAAUAACUUAUGGCAGCAAGGGGGCCUUUUGGAGUCGGCUACUGAUUUCAAGCAAAAAAUAGAGGAUAUGGGGGUUGAGCUCAAGCAAUGGGAAAAGAUGGAAUUUGGACACAUCAGAAAGAGGUGCAGAAAACUCAGAGAAGAGUUAGGGGAUCUCCAAAAACCUUCUAACGAUCCUUAUACAAAAGAUAAGCAGAGAUUGGUGGAAGCUGAACUGGAUGACCUGCUUUCAAAGGAAGAGAUUAUGUGGAAACAAAGAUCCAGAGCGGACUGGCUGGCUGAAGGGGAUAGAAAUACAGGGUUUUUUCAUCGAGUUGCAAAAGGCAGGAAAAAACGCAAUCAUAUACGUGAGAUUCAGAGAGGGGAUGGCUCGACUACCCGAAAACAUGAGGAGAUGGACAUUAUUUUUAGAACUCAUUUCCAGGAACUCUUCUCGGCUGGCCCUUAUCAGAAUCCCGAAGAGGUACUCCACUCCAUCGAGCCCAUGGUGUCAGAUGAUAUGAAUAAUGCCCUCACCAAACCGUACACGGCUGAUGAGAUUGUACGAGCUUUGAAACAAAUGCCCCCUCUCAAAGCCCCGGGGCCGGAUGGUAUGCCUACUAUCUUUUACUCCUCCUGUUGGUCUAGUGCUAAGUAUGAUGUUAUUCCCAUGGUGCUUAAAAUUCUUAACAAUGAGGCUGAUCAUGGUCCUUUAAACUCCACUUUUAUUUGCCUCAUUGCUAUAAAGAAAAAGUGUACUCUCCCUGCAGAUUUUCGCCCCAUAAGUCUAUGUAAUGUCAUUUAUAAACUUGUUUCCAAAGUUAUUACUAAUAGACUUAAGGUGUGUCUGCCCGAUAUCAUUCAUGAGAGUCAGUCUGCUUUCGUUCCGGGUCGGCACAUUACUGAUAACGCCCUUCUUGCUUUUGAGAUUUUCCAUAUGAUGAAACUUAAUAAAGCUAAGUCAAAAGGUUGUUUUGCUUUCAAACUUGAUAUGGCAAAGGCUUAUGACCGUGUUGAGUGGAGUUUUCUUGAUGCUAUGAUGAGACGGCUUGGUUUCCAUUCUUCUCUGGUUGACUUACUGAUGAGAUGUGUAUCUACUGUCUCCUUUCGUGUACUUGUGAAUGGCUUUCCAGGUGAUUCCUUUCAGCCAAGCCGAGGCCUACGGCAAGGAGAUCCACUUUUGCCCUUUUUAUUUCUUUUCUGUGCAGAAGCGCUCUCAGGACUGUUGCGCAAAGCUGAAACUACUCAUCUGCUUCAUGGAGCGCGUUUGUGUAGAACGGCUCCACAGAUCAGCCAUCUCUUAUUUGCGGACGAUUGCAUCAUCUUCGGCAGAGCGUGUGGGAAAGGAAUUGAGACUGUUCGAACCAUUCUAAACCGGUAUGAGGCGGCUUCAGGGCAAAAAGUUAAUCUCGACAAAUCGGCCAUAUCUUUCAUGGAGGGGUUCCGGAAUCUGUGAAACAAGAGUUGGCUGUCCAGUUAGGCGUAAGGCGAGAGGUACAACAAGGAAAAUAUCUCGGCAUACCUAGCUCGGUGGGACGAUCAAAAAUCGAGAUUUUCCAACUGUUAGUGGAUCGAAUCAGGAAAAAAGCUAAUGACUGGAAAAGACGAUACUUAUCAGGAGCAGGAAAGUUGAUUCUCAUUAAAUCCGUCCUCCAAUCCAUACCGACUUAUUUAAUGAGCUGUUUCAGCAUUCCUGACCAGAUCUGUCAAAGGUUGAAUAGUAUCGCUGCUAGUUUCUUCUGGGGGCAGAAAAAUGAUGAGAGGAGGAUUCACUGGAAAAGCUGGCGUAAACUUUGUGUACCUAAAAGUGAAAGAGGCUUAGGUUUUCGGGACUUAAGCCUGUUCAAUCAAGCUAUGCUAGCUAAGCAAUCGUGGAGGAUUCUUCAAAAUGAUUCAACUCUCCUUACCAGGUCUCUUAAGGCUCGUUAUUUUCCCAGGUCGGACAUCUUAACGGCUAAUCAAGCCCAUAAUCCAUCUUUCGUUUGGAGAAGAUUAUUAGUCGGGAGGGAUCUACUGGUCAAGGGAAUUGCGUGGAGGGUGGGAGACGGGAAAAGGAUUCGUAUUGGCAAAGAUGCUUGGCUACCAGAUGGCAAAGGAAACUUUAAAGCUGCUAGAGUGCAGGACCCUUGGGGUGACAUGAAGAUCAACGAGCUCCUGUUAGAUAAUACUCCAGCAUGGGACAUGCAAAAGGUGGAAACAAUCUUGCCCAGGGACGAGCUGUGGAAGAUCACUGAAAAGGUAAUUCAUAUUCGGUCAAAUCGAGAUACCUUCUCGCCUGUACACUUAAGAACAGAGAGGAACCUUCAUCUUCUUCGGAUGAAUCUUCCUUAUGGAAUUGGGUGUGGGGUUUGGCGGUAAUUCCUAAGGUGAAGCUUUUUCUGUGGAAAUGUUUGAGUGGCUGUCUCCCAACUGCCAAAGCUCUUAUCUCCCGUUCUAUCAUGAUGGAUCCCUGUUGUCGUAGAUGCGAUAAGCUCACGGAAACUAUCGAGCACGCUCUCAGGGACUGUCCCUGGGCGACGUUCCUUUGGGAGUCCUCACCUAUUCGACUUCAGCCAACAAAUCCGAGAGCUCCGUGGAGUCUGGUUGAGUGGAUUGGCAAAAUCAGAGAGGUUCCGGAAAAGGAGGUUCAUUGUCUUUUUGCCUCUGUUUUGUGGGCUUGUUGGUAUGCUCGUAAUCUUCUUGUGUUCCAGAACAAAAUCUUAUCUCACUCUGAUUGUUUGGUGAUAGCUGUAAGAGCCAUGUUGUUUAAUCCCCUUAGCUCAAGCAUGGUGAGCUCAAAACCAACCAGAGUGGACUGCUCUAGAGCGGCACAGGUGAAGAUUAAUUGUGACGCGGCGGUAGGAAGUGGGGCCGGGGCUGGUCUGGGAAUUGCUCUGUGCGACGUGGAGAACAAUCAGGUUGGUUAUAGGUUGGGCUUCCUUAAAGGAGUCUUCACGGUUGAGGAAGGGGAGGCUCAUGCUGUUCUUGAAGGCCUUCGUUUCAGUGUUGAAAAAGGUUUCACAGAUAUCAUUGUGGAGACGGACUGCCAUCGACUCUUUUGGAGACUACAUAAUCAUGAAGAUGAUCUCUCCCUCUUAGGAGAUAUCCUUAAGGAGAUUUACAGCAUUGUGGAUUCUUUGAACCAGGUGGAGUUUAGCUGGUGCCCGAGGGAGGAUAAUUGUGUUGCUGAUAGCUUAGCUAAUUAUGCUUUUGUUUCUCGUUCUGUUUUUAUUUCUUCGAAUGUGUGGCCUUUAUCUGUAAACUCUUCUUUGGUGGUUUAAUGAAAGGCACAUGUUUUCCCUAAAAAAAAAAAAGCAAACUAAAGUGAAAGAACACACUUCUAUUCUUAGAUUUCAAACAAUCCCAACGCAAACAUCAAAAACCUAAUAACUAGAAAUCCAAAUCAAGAAUACGUUUCUGAUUCAAAUUCACAAAAAAUAUAUACUAAAUUCAUUAGGGAAGAAAAAUUUACACAUACUUUCAACAUAUGACUUUUUUCGUUUUCAUAACUCUCAUUUAAAUUUUGCAUCUUAAAAAGCAAAAUAUCUUCAAACUCCAACAUAAACAAAUUGAAGAUGAUGUUGAACUUUGUUCUUCCUUAUGUUAAUGUUUUUCUUCUUUCUACGUCUGCGUCUCUGCGCGUUUGCUUGUCUCUUUUCUGUGUCUAUUAUCUGACGUGUUUAAUUAAAAUUUUGAGUUGGGGCUAUAAUGAUAGAGUUAUUAGGGUUAUUUAUAAGUAUUUUUAAUAUUAGAAUCAAGAUAGGGAUUAUACGUGAUUUAUCUGUUAAGAGAUUGUACACAUUAUUCUUCUUUCAAAUUAAUUUUUAUAAACUUUAAUUUAUUAAAAAUUUUAAAUAGGCUAUAAGGGUAUAAUAGUAAAAUUAUAAUAAUAAUAAUUAUUAUUUUUGAUAAGGGGCUAUAGAGAGAAAAUUGGGGGCUGUGUUUAAAAUUACCCUUUAAUUGAUCGACUAAUAAUAUUAAAUGAUAUGGGCUGGAAUAUUAUUUCACCUUGGGCCUUAUCAGUUAAUUGUGGUGGGCCACAUUUAUUUAUUUCAGUUGGGCUGUUACUAUUUCAUUUGGGCCCAGAUUUAUUUAAUUACUUGAGCCAAUGAAUUAUUUCAGUUGAGCCUUUCAUUUUAAUUAUUCAGGUUCAUUUUCAUUCAUUUAUUUACUGGGCUACCAUGACUUAUUUAAUUCAGGUCCACUUUUACAUAUUUAAUUAUUAGGUUGCCUUAUGUUUGAGCCUUUUAAUCAUUGGUUUAUUAUUAUUAUUAUUAUUAUUAUUAUUAUUAUUAUUAUUAUUAUUAUUAUUAUUAUUAUUAUUAUUAUUAUUAUUAUUAUUAUUAUUAUUUAUUAUUAUUAUUAUUAUUAUUAUUAUUAUUUUCUUCCUACUUACUUAAGC